rnacentral:rRNA from 1 species
UACGAAGGGGGCUAGCGUUGUUCGGAAUUACUGGGCGUAAAGCGCACGUAGGCGGAUUGUUAAGUCAGGGGUGAAAUCCUGGAGCUCAACUCCAGAACUGCCUUUGAUACUGAGGAUCUUGAGUACGGGAGAGGUGAGUGGAACUGCGAGUGUAGAGGUGAAAUUCGUAGAUAUUCGCAAGAACACCAGUGGCGAAGGCGGCUCACUGGCCCGUAACUGACGCUGAGGCACGAAAGCGUGGGGAGCAAACAGG